rnacentral:rRNA from 1 species
AGUGAACGCUGGCGGCAGGCCUAACACAUGCAAGUCGAGCGGCAGCGCGUCCGACCACCCUCGGGUGGUCGGAUGGCGGCGAGCGGCGGACGGGUGAGGAAUGCAUCGGAAUCUGCCUCGUUGUGGGGGAUAACGUAGGGAAACUUACGCUAAUACCGCAUACGACCUACGGGUGAAAGUGGGGGACCUUCGGGCCUCACGCGAUGAGAUGAGCCGAUGCCGGAUUAGCUAGUUGGCGGGGUAAAGGCCCACCAAGGCGACGAUCCGUAGCUGGUCUGAGAGGAUAAUCAGCCACACUGGAACUGAGACACGGUCCAGACUCCUACGGGAGGCAGCAGUGGGGAAUAUUGGACAAUGGGGGCAACCCUGAUCCAGCCAUGCCGCGUGUGUGAAGAAGGCUUUCGGGUUGUAAAGCACUUUUGUUGGGGAAGAACCGGCCGGGUUAAUACCCUGGUUGAAUGACGGUACCCAAAGAAUAAGCACCGGCUAACUUCGUGCCAGCAGCCGCGGU